rnacentral:tRNA from 1 species
GAUGUGGUGCUGUUAUUGGCGUUAGUUUUGCAAAGACUAAUUUGGAAGUUAAUAUAUUUCUCGCAUCU